AUAUAUAAAAUUAGUAGUGUAUAUUAAUUCGAGAGGAAAAGAUAUAGUAUAAA
rnacentral:guide_RNA from 1 species